UACGUAGGGACCAAGCGUUGUUCGGAUUUACUGGGCGUAAAGGGCGCGUAGGCGGCGUGGUAAGUCACUUGUGAAAUCUCUGAGCUUAACUCAGAACGGUCAAGUGAUACUGCUGUGCUAGAGUGCGGAAGGGGCAAUCGGAAUUCUUGGUGUAGCGGUGAAAUGCGUAGAUAUCAAGAGGAACACCUGAGGUGAAGACGGGUUGCUGGGCCGACACUGACGCUGAUGCGCGAAAGCCCAGGGGAGCAAACGGG
rnacentral:rRNA from 1 species